AUAGUAUCCGUCAGUUCUUUCCUGUCACCAACUCCGACUACAACUUCACCUGUUUUAACAGAAUCAUCCAUCAUGCAAUCAAUGUAGGUAUAUACCACGCGAACUUUGUCCAUAUCUUCCAAAAGCAAUGGAAUUCUCCUCUCCUCACCCCCUCGCAAUUCUCCAAGCCUCACGAUCCUUGUGUCCUCUCCAAUCAUCAAUGCAAUAUCUCUAACUGCACCACA
rnacentral:misc_RNA from 1 species